AUGGCAGUUGACCGCGCCGACAAGGAGAAUCUGCCGCCAGCGACCGCCCCGGCGGCCGCCGUCGUCCGUCCUCAUGGCGUAGCUGUCAGGAGCUGCAAGCUGAAGCGGCUCGGGAGGGCGCGGAGGAGGGUGCCUCUCAGAGACAUCACCAAUCUCUUCGUGGUGGAGUCCGCGGUUGCCGAGUGGCAGCAGGCCCUGCUCCAGCAGCCGCACGAGGGGUCGGCGACGGCAGAGCUGGGGAAGGCAGAGCCGGCCGUGAAGAACGGGCUGGCCGGUGGUGCUGUACUGAAGGCCGGCAGAUACUCGCUCCGGAAGGAGUUUAGAUAG
rnacentral:rRNA from 1 species